rnacentral:misc_RNA from 1 species
GAUGAAGAACGUAGCGAAAUGCGAUAAGUAAUGUGAAUUGCAGAAUUCAGUGAAUCAUCGAAUCUUUGAACGCACAUUGCGCCCCUUGGUAUUCCGGGGGGCAUGCCUGUUCGAGCGUCAUUUCAACCCUCAAGCUCUGCUUGGUAUUGGGCACCGUCCUUUGCGGGCGCGCCUCAAAGACCUCGGCGGUGGCGUCUUGCCUCAAGCGUAGUAGAAUACACCUCGCUUCGGAGCGUAAGGCGUCGCCUGCCGGACGAACCUUCUGAACUUUUCUCAAGGUUGACCUCGGAUCAGGUAGGGAUACCCGCUGAACUUAAGCAUAUCAAUAAGCGGAGGA